rnacentral:rRNA from 1 species
UACGUAGGAGGCAAGCGUUAUCCGGAAUGACUGGGCGUAAAGGGUGCGUAGGUGGUUCAGCAAGUUAGUAGCGUAACUCCGGAGCUCAACUUCGGAACUACUACUAAAACUGUUGAACUUGAGUGCAGGAGGGGCAACUGGAAUUCCUAGUGUAGCGGUGGAAUGCGUAGAUAUUAGGAGGAACACCAGUGGCGAAGGCGAGUUGCUGGACUGUAACUGACACUGAGGCACGAAAGCGUG